rnacentral:snRNA from 12 species
AAGUGUUACAGCUCUUUUACUAUUUGUCUAGCCGGUUUUUACUCUGUUGGAGCCACA